rfam:Triticum aestivum genome assembly, contig: Triticum_aestivum_CS42_TGACv1_scaffold_457869_5DS
UAUGUACUCCCUCCGUCUGAAAAAGUUUGUCCCAAGCUUGUCCCUCAAAUGGAUGUAUCUAGCACUAACUUGGUGCUAGAUACAUUCAUUUGAGGGACAAGCUUUUUCGGACGAGGGAGUAGUAG